CCUACGGGUGGCAGCAGUGAGGAAUAUUGGUCAAUGGGCGCGAGCCUGAACCAGCCAAGUAGCGUGAAGGAUGACUGCCCUACGGGUUGUAAACUUCUUUUAUAAAGGAAUAAAGUGAGGCACGUGUGCCUUUUUGUAUGUACUUUAUGAAUAAGGCACGGCUAAAUCCGUGCCAGCAGCCGCGGUAAUACGGAGGAUCCGAGCGUUAUGCGGAUUUAUUGGGGUUAAAGGGAGCGUAGGUGGGUUGUUAAGUCAGUUGUGAAAGUUGGCGGUUCAACCGUAAAAUUGCAGUUGAUACUGGCAUUCGUGAGUACAGGUGAGGUAGGCGGAAUGCGUGGUGUAGCGGUGAAAUGCUGAGAUAUCACGCAGAACUCCGAUUGCGAAGGCAGCUUACUAACCUGCAACUGACAUUGAUGCUCGAAAGCGUGGGUAUCAAACAGGAUUAGAUACCCCUGUAGUC
rnacentral:rRNA from 1 species